UACGUAGGGGGCGAGCGUUGUCCGGAUUUAUUGGGCGUAAAGAGCGUGUAGGCGGUUCGGUAAGUCUGUCGUGAAAUCCUGAGGCUCAACCUCGGGCGUGCGAUGGAUACUGCCGGGCUAGAGGGUGGUAGAGGCGAGUGGAAUUCCCGGUGUAGCGGUGAAAUGCGCAGAUAUCGGGAGGAACACCAGUAGCGAAGGCGGCUCGAUGGGCCACGCCUGACGCUGAGACGCGAAAGCUAGGGGAGCGAACAGG
rnacentral:rRNA from 1 species